CCUACGGGUGGGCAGCAGUGGGGAAUAUUGCACAAUGGGGGGAACCCUGAUGCAGCGACGCCGCGUGAGUGAAGAAGUAUCUCGGUACGUAAAGCUCUAUCAGCAGGGAAGAAGAUGACGGUACCUGACUAAGACGCCCCGGCUAACUACGUACCAGCAGCCGCGGUAAUACGUAGGGGGCAAGCGUUAUCCGUAUUUACUGGGUGUAAAGGGAGCGUAGACGGCACUGCAAGUCCGGAGUAAAAGCCCAAGGCUUAACCAUGGGACUGCUCUGGAAACUGUGGAGCUUGGGUGCGAAGGGGAAGGCGGAAUUCCAAGUGUAGCGGUGAAAUGCGUAGAUAUAAGGAGGAACACCGGCGGUGAAGGCGGCCUGCUGGACCGUAACUGACGUUGAGGCUCGAAAGCGUGGGGAGCAAACAGGAUUAGAUACCCUGGUAGUC
rnacentral:rRNA from 1 species